UACCCUGGCCAUGGGCAAGGGGUCAUCUUGGUGGUGGUGAUGUUGCUCUUACAUUAGUCAGGGGCAGAGCAAAUGUCAGUCCUUUGCUCACACUGGCUUGAUGCCUGGUUUGGUAGAUCAAGCUGUUUUAUGCCUAGGACACACAA